UACGGGGGGGGCAAGCGUUGUUCGGAAUUACUGGGCGUAAAGGGCUCGUAGGUGGCCAACUAAGUCAGACGUGAAAUCCCCAGGCUUAACCUGGGAACUGCGUCUGAUACUGGAUGGCUUGGAAUUCGGGAGAGGGAUGCAGAAUUCCAGGUGUAGCGGUGAAAUGACGUAGAUAUCUGGAGGAACACCGGUGGCGAGGGCGGCCCACUGGCUCGAUACUGACGCUGAGGUGCGAAAGCGUGGGGAGCAAACAGGG
rnacentral:rRNA from 1 species